UGGAAACAGAGCCAGCUCAGGUUUUCUGUGCGAGGGCUCUGUCAAGCGGGAGUCCCCCGCUUGCCCUCUGUAUGUGGGUGGUCUGGUCUGGGUCUCCUCAGGAUAUCGUCUGGUUUCAGACCCUCCCGCUCCUCCGAUGUUAAGUGGCGAGGAGGGAACAUGAUUAAGCCUGGUUUGGAUUUUAUCGUGCAACUCUAAAACAGCCCUGCUGGAAAAACGUUUGGCAAACCGCAAAGGCUGUGUUUAAAAAACACACACAUCCUAUUCUCCUUUUUAAAGCUUUGAACAAUCAACAGCGGGAGAGAAAACCAGUGUCUCAGUGGGGACUCGCAAGAAUUCGCAUGACUCAGAAACAGAAAGGAAGUGAAAGACGGAGAGAGAGAAAAACAAGAGAAACGGAACAAAAGGCCGUGAUGGAACGCAGCAGAGAAUGAGAGAUGACGGAAAGGUCGAGGAAAGACAUUUCAGUUUCCGAAGAACAAAGAAAGCCAUUGGGGAUUUGAACGACAUGAGGUGCUGGUGUGGUUCACCUUUGUACGACCUGUCUAUAUAAUCCUACAGCACCUGCCUGGGGCACAGGUACAAGCUGCAGUGUAUGCGUCUUUACACCACUGGAUGUGUCUUGCAUGACUGUCUGUGUGUGUCGAAUGACCUAUAUACUACAGGUUUAUACAUUACCCAUUCAUCCUGUACGACUGCCUAUUUACUCAAGAGUUUAAGAGCUUAGUGCAUUG